rnacentral:rRNA from 1 species
UACGGAGGGUGCAAGCGUUGUCCGGAAUUAUUGGGUUUAAAGGGUGCGUAGGCGGUUAUUUAAGUCAGAGCUGAAAUGUCUGGGCUCAACCGAGGAACUGGCUUUGAUACUGAAUAACUUGAGUACAGUUGAGGUAGGCGGAAUUGAUGGUGUAGCGGUGAAAUGCAUAGAUAUCAUCAAGAACACCGAUUGCGAAGGCAGCUUACUGGACUGUAACUGACGCUGAGGCACGAAAGCGUGGGGAGCGAAC